CUUUCUUCAACCUCUCGUCUUUCUCUGCAACUCUUCCUCUUUUCAUAUUCCAGCAGCUUCUUGGUGAAUCUCUUCAUCUAACUUCAUAUAGUGGAGAGAGAACCUACUCUACAUAGUUUUUUUCCGUAACCUACUCCAACAAAUUCCUAAUCCAGUUUUAUCAGUCGUGUAUGAGAAAUCCCUUUAUCUAUAGCAGAAGAUGCUCGUAUCAUCGUUGGAGACGCUUCUGUUAAAGCUGGAUAUUCCAACCAGUCGAUGGAUAUAAUGGACUAAAAGAGAACCCAAAAGUUGGACGCUCAGAACACAACAUUGAAGAUCUGAUCUUCUUACCAGCUCGUACACAUAAGCGAUGGACUCGAGGAGUACACAAGUGUUGCAUUUCCAAGUUUGUUUUAUGUUUCCAUUUCCUGGUCUAAUUUGCUUACGUUUCUCUUUGUUUUUUGUUUUGAUAGACAAUUUUCAAAGUUGUAGUCCGUUCCUGUUUGGUCUAUCUUGGUUGGAAUUUGCACUAGUAUUGGUCAUGCAUCAUAAACUAAUUGUGGACAAAAAUACAUGUAUAUCGUUGUAUAUCAUAAUAGUGGACUAAUUUUUUAUAAACAAACUUGUCCAUUAUAUAAUACAAGAUGGAUGGA